GAUGAACGCUGGCGGCGUGCCUAAUACAUGCAAGUCGAGCGAACGGACGAGAAGCUUGCUUCUCUGAUGUUAGCGGCGGACGGGUGAGUAACACGUAGAUAACCUACCUAUAAGACUGGGAUAACUUCGGGAAACCGGAGCUAAUACCGGAUAAUAUUUUGAACCGCAUGGUUCAAAAGUGAAAGACGGUCUUGCUGUCACUUAUAGAUGGAUCCGCGCUGCAUUAGCUAGUUGGUAAGGUAACGGCUUACCAAGGCAACGAUGCAUAGCCGACCUGAGAGGGUGAUCGGCCACACUGGAACUGAGGCACGGUCCAGACUCCUACGGGAGGCAGCAGUAGGGAAUCUUCCGCAAUGGGCGAAAGCCUGACGGAGCAACGCCGCGUGAGUGAUGAAGGUCUUCGGAUCGUAAAACUCUGUUAUUAGGGAAGAACAUAUGUGUAAGUAACUGUGCACAUCUUGACGGUACCUAAUCAGAAAGCCACGGCUAACUACGU
rnacentral:rRNA from 1 species